rnacentral:rRNA from 1 species
UUGGAGGGCAAGUCUGGUGCCAGCAGCCGCGGUAAUUCCAGCUCCAAUAGCGUAUAUUAAAGUUGCUGCAGUUAAAAAGCUCGUAGUUGAAUUUCGGGACCAAUAUGUCGGUCGUGCUUCGGUACGUACUGUCAUUAUUGGUUUCUCCCUUCUGAAGAACCUUGAUGUCAUUAAUUUGGUGUCUUGGGGAAUCAGGACUGUUACUUUGAAAAAAUUAGAGUGUUUAAAGCAGGCUCGCGCUUGAAUACAUUAGCAUGGAAUAAUGAAAUAGGACGUUUGAUUCUAUUUUGUUGGUUUCUAGGAUCGACGUAAUGAUUAAUAGGGAUAGUUGGGGGCAUUAGUAUUCAAUUGUCAGAGGUGAAAUUCUUGGAUUUAUUGAAGACUAACUACUGCGAAAGCAUUUGCCAAGGAUGUUUUCAUUAAUCAAGAACGAAAGUUAGGGGAUCGAAGACGAUCAGAUACCGUCGUAGUCUUAACCAUAAACUAUGCCAACUAGGGAUCGGAUGA